UGAAGUAUAUGGUUAGGACCUGGCUUCUGUACUUCGCAAGUUUUUAAAAAACCAAUGCAUGUUCUGAAAUGUUGAGAAAGAUAUCCAUGUUUUAGUGCUAUGUUUCAGUGCCACAAAUUUUCAGCUGUUGUAGUAAAUUGUAUUGGUGAAACUAGUCGUCCAAGUAUAAUUCUGUCCAACAGUUUCAGUUUGAAUCACAAUUGAAAUCUCUCUACGAUUUUAGUUGGGCGAUUGUCUUGGCCGGGGGUUUGGUCUUAGAACCUAUGAUUUAAUUUUUCCUCGACUAUUUAACCAACAUCUUGGGGUUCCAAUAGUUGAUAGCAAAAGUUAAAAUUAUUGAGACAUGCUAAAUGCUGAGGAAUGCUGAUUUUGCCAAUUUAGUUUAAGCUCCUUCCACUAAUUUCAUAGGCACCAAUUUUAUUUGGUAAACUAGAUCAGAUGAAAGGUUUAGUGCCAUUACUUUAAAGGGUUUAAACCAAAAAUGCAAAAGAAUAGUGUAGUAUUGGUUGCGUACUUGUGACAGUUCUUCUGUCUCAAUAUCAAUACCUUACUGGUAUUCACUUGUCAUCUUUUACUGUAGGUGGAUGACAUAUUGUUAUUCAUAUUUUUCGAAUCAACCUAACAGCUGACUUGUUGCUUUUAUUUCAUUAUUCCAGAUUCUGGUUCAAAAACGGAGAGAGUUGGUCAGAACUCAUUGCAGAAAGCCCAUCAUAGGUGUCGGCGUAAGAAACAUGAUUUGAGAAUGGUGGAUCCCAUAAGGUAGGUUGGCUUUUUGGUGAUUGUGGCUUCUUUUGGUAAUCGAAAAGGGAAAAGAAUCACUAGCAGAUGCUUGAUACAGUGCAAAUUCCAUCUUUUGAUAAGCUCUUCCAAUUUGUUUGGUCCAGUAUAAAUAAAUAUAUGGCAGUUAAGAUUUUCAUGCUGCAAAAUAGUAUUCUGCUGAGAAGGCUUUGUCAUGUGCGCUUUGGAUUGAUGCUUGGUUCUGGAAAAAUGAUUUACAAGUUCUGAUCUACUUCUGUGAUACAGAGUUUUUAUUUAUUGUCUAUUUUUAUUUUUCCCCCAGUAUAAAGUAUGAUUGAUGCCUGAAAUUUAGCCCAUGUUUGAUUCCUAUUCAUUCCCUAUUAAAAUGAAAAAAUGAUUGUUAUCCAUCACAUUAAGCCAUCAAAUUUGAAUUUACAUCUCGUGUGGGGUCCGUAACGACUAUAUUUUUCUUUCUCAUUUUGAAAAACAAUUUCGUAAUGGUGUUAAUUAUAUCUCCGAAUUUUCCAUUUACGUCCAUGUGGUGAUUUUAGUGCAUGCUACUGAAAUUUUACGAC
rnacentral:lncRNA from 1 species